GAGAGUUUGAUCCUGGCUCAGGACGAACGCUGGCGGCGUGCCUAACACAUGCAAGUCGAACGAGGUCCAUGCAGUGGCAACACUGCGGAAGACCUAGUGGCGAACGGGUGAGUAACACGUGAGGAACCUGCCCCGAAGACCGGGAUAACCCUCCGAAAGGAGAGCUAAUACCGGAUACCCCCACCGGAUCGCAUGAUCUGGUGAGGAAAUGGAUUCCGCUUCGGGAGGGCCUCGCGGCCUAUCAGCUUGUUGGUGGGGUAACGGCCCACCAAGGCAUCGACGGGUAGCUGGUCUGAGAGGACGAUCAGCCACACUGGGACUGAGACACGGCCCAGACUCCUACGGGAGGCAGCAGUGGGGAAUCUUGCGCAAUGGGCGAAAGCCUGACGCAGCAACGCCGCGUGGGGGAUGAAGGCUCUCGGGUUGUAAACCCCUUUCAGCAGGACGAAUCAAGACGGUACCUGCAGAAGAAGCCCCGGCUAACUACGUGCCAGCAGCCGCGGUAACACGUAGGGGCAAGCGUUCGG
rnacentral:rRNA from 1 species